UACGUAGGGGGCAAGCGUUGUCCGGAUUUAUUGGGCGUAAAGAGCGUGUAGGCGGCCAUACAGGUCAGCUGUGAAAACUCGAGGCUCAACCUCGAGACGUCGGUUGAAACCGUAUGGCUAGAGUCCGGAAGAGGAGAGUGGAAUUCCCGGUGUAGCGGUGAAAUGCGCAGAUAUCGGGAAGAACACCCGUGGCGAAGGCGGCUCUCUGGGACGGUACUGACGCUGAGACGCGAAGGCUAGGGGAGCGAACAGG
rnacentral:rRNA from 1 species